CAGGUCAUAGAUGAGGACCCGGCGACGACCACCGAGGUUUUGACAACAGGCUCAUCUGCCUCGGAUCCGUCUCCCUGUUGUUCCUGUGCUUCUCCCUCUAUAGACACACAUUGUCGAGCCGGUGAUUGGAGAAGGAUGGGGAGGCGAUGGAUAUGGAUACGGAGUCAGUGGAUGAAGAUGAUGUCAUGGCUGGGCUGAUUUCUAUUCAUCGUGUACCGCCACCUGCUCGCGUUUCUGUCUCUCGCCUAGAACCAUCAGCUAGAGGACAUGUAUUGUGCUGCUACCGGGGCCUUGACCUCAUAUUUAUCGGGCAUCUAAUUUGUUGCAAUUUGUCUCAACUAAACCCCACAUCUCACAUCUGUCUUUAGGUUUGCCCCCGUACUCCAACUGCAAGUGAGCAGCUUACUUGUGCAGAAGAAAAAGAAAGAGAAACCAUCUCCCAAGGGACACUCCCAGUUCAAGAUGAGCAUGAAGCUGAUAUACUAAACUACCAUCUCAAGAUACUCCCUCUGUUAACAUACUGAAUGUUGUUAAUGAUAAGGCAGUAAUUGAAGUUCCUCCUUGACGAACUAGCAAGAUAGUAGCACAGUUUCUCCAGUGUAAUCAAGCCCAACAACGGCUGAUGCACAAAAGGAUGAGUUUGUCUUGAACUUGUUAUAUACCACUGAUUUAUCAUCAUGUUUUUCAUGUUGAUUUUUUUAUCAAAGUACUUCUAUUUUUUCAUUCCAAAUUAUCACUGGACAGAUUCUGUAGGCUUAACAAGGAUUAUUAUGAUAAGCUUUUAUGGAUUAUAUACACUGUAGAGGUUAUUCCAAAUGAUUUACACGGAAGAAAUUCAUAGAACAACAGUCCAAUUUAAAGGCAAUGUGUAGUGCAAAGGAAACUUAAAAUGCAUCAUUGCCCUGUUCUUUUAUAUAUGUGUCUGGACUCUACUCAAGCAGCCAAUUCUGACGAGUUAUCGACACGGCAAUAGAUGUACUCAUGUACGCGGCCCCAGGGAUGGUAUUGCUCUCUCCAAUGCCCAGACAGGCAAAGGGCAUUUUAAGGUCAAGUACCUUUAUGUAGGUCGUGGUCUGAGCAUACACUGGAUGAUGCACCCUUACAAAAAUCUGGUUACUCUUCCACUUUCAGAUUCAUUAGCAAACUGUUCAUGAAAUUAUGGAUAUUAUAUAUGUAAAGAUACACUUUUUACUUGACAAACGAAAUCAUAUAGGUUCAGACUAAAUUUCUGAUGACCUUUUUCCAUGAUGCCCUGAAUUUUGGUGAUGAGAAUGUCUGGUCAUACUAAUGUGUCGAGCAAAGAAAGUUACCUUUUAAUGUUUAAGUGUAUUUCCCCAUAAUAAAAACAUGUUCAUUCAUGAGUUAUUUCUUGAUUUAGUGUUUCAAAAUCUAAGUUCGCUGAGUAGCCAGAAAUGAUUGAAGCACUAGCUAGCUUCCAUACUCACUACUCCAGUGGUAUGUUUUUAUGAUGUUCGAUUCAUAUUUAUAUUGAUAUGCUGAAUUCAUCCACCAGAACCUAAAUAUGACAUGUCCCUAGAUCUUUAUUUGAACUGAUUUCUUAUAUGAGUACAUGUUACAAUUACUUAAUUAUCUAGCUUCUAGCUACACUUCCAUUACUAUCUUUUGUAGGCAGCUAGAAAAUGAACAUCCACGAUGAUGAGAUCAUAGAAGAAAUGAACCUGCUCAUCUUGACGAGUAAUCGGCACGGCAAUAGCUAUAACCGUGGCAGCGUCCCCCAGGUAGGAUAUUGCUCUCUCCAACGCCCAUAGUGAUGAAGGUGCAUUUUAACACCAAGUAGUUUUAUUCACAUCCUGGUUAAUCAAUACAGUAACAUUCAAUCAUGUAAAGUUCUAGGAAAUUGGGUUGACAGCUUUGUUUAACACUUAAAUUGUUUAGUCUGAUAAAAUCACGCCUCACGCACAAGUUAACUCUUUUGCCUCUUGAAUUUAUAAUCCUGUCAGUCUGUUUCAGGUGAAGUGGUGCUUGCUUUAUUGCUGGGAAUAAUUAAGCUUAUUGCAUCUACAAGUGGGACAACAUACAAGUUUAUGCUUAAACUUGACCAUUUUGUUUGUAUUUUUCCUUCCGUUGCAAUGCACGGGCAUUUUUGCUAUAAUAAUAGAGAGCUAUUGCUUCUUACCA